UACGUAGGGUCCGAGCGUUGUCCGGAAUUACUGGGCGUAAAGCGCGCGCAGGCGGUCUUCCAAGUCAGUGGUGAAAGCCCGGAGCUCAACUCCGGAACUGCCAUUGAAACUGUAAGACUUGAGGAUGAGAGAGGUGAGUGGAAUUCCCAGUGUAGAGGUGAAAUUCGUAGAUAUUCGCAAGAACACCAGUGGCGAAGGCGGCUCACUGGCCCGGUACUGACGCUGAGGUGCGAAAGCGUGGGGAGCAAACAGG
rnacentral:rRNA from 1 species